rnacentral:rRNA from 1 species
GACGAACGCUGGCGGCGUGCUUAACACAUGCAAGUCGAACGGAAAGGCCCUGCUUUUGUGGGGUGCUCGAGUGGCGAACGGGUGAGUAACACGUGAGUAACCUGCCCUUGACUUUGGGAUAACUUCAGGAAACUGGGGCUCAUACCGGAUAGGAGCUCCUGCUGCAUGGUGGGGGUUGGAAAGUUUCGGCGGUUGGGGCUGGACUCGCGGCUUAUCAGCUUGUUGGUGGGGUAGUGGCUUACCAAGGCUUUGACGGGUAGCCGGCCUGAGAGGGUGACCGGCCACAUUGGGACUGAGAUACGGCCCAGACUCCUACGGGAGGCAGCAGUGGGGAAGAUUGCACAAUGGGCGGAAGCCUGAUGCAGCAACGCCGCGUGCGGGAUGACGGUCUUCGGGUUGUAAACCGCUUUCGCCUGUGACGAAGCGUGAGUGACGGUAAUGGGUAAAGAAGCACCGGCUAACUACGUG